UUAUCCUUUCUACCUCUGCUACCUGUCAUCCCAAGCCAUUGUUCCAUGCACGUUUUUCAUGCCACACUAUCAGUCAGAAAUACACCAACAGUGCCAACAAACAUACAACGAUGAACCACCGCUGGCCAACAGACGAUGGUGGAUAAUAAAUUCUCCUAAUUGGCAAUCAGGGACUAGUGAGGACACCAGGGCUCCAAAUAGAGGAUGUCACGACGUGGGGGGUUUCGCAACUUACUGCGAGGAUUGUUCUCCCGGGAUGCAAACGGACUUUUCCGGACAAAGGUAGCAGGUUGAAACCAGGCAAACCACAGGCUUGAAAAAUUGUUGGUUUUAAACGCUCGCAGGUUGUUGCUGUGCCAUUGAAGUCCUGUGAGUGGUGUGUUUCAAACUGUUAAAAGGACGAGAAGACAACAAUGAACUUGGUGUAGAGUUAUGGCGUCUUUGAACAUGUUUUUUCCCAAGAUGUAUCCCUUUAAGUGUUGAAACUAUUAGACUUCCCCUUCAAUAUAUGGGCCAAA